rnacentral:rRNA from 1 species
GACGAACGCUGGCGGCGUGCUUAACACAUGCAAGUCGAACCGUGGCGGACGGGUGAGUAAUGCUUGGGAAUCUAGCUUAUGGAGGGGGAUAACUACGGGAAACUGUAGCUAAUACCGCGUACCAUAGGAUGAGCCCAAGUGGGAUUAGGUAGUUGGUGAGGUAAAGGCUCACCAAGCCGACGAUCUCUAGCUGGUCUGAGAGGAUGACCAGCCAUACUGAGACUGAGACACGGCCCAGACUCCGACGUGAGGCAGCAGUGGGGAAUAUUGCGCAAUGGGGGCAACCUGACGCAGCCAUGCCGCGUGAAUGAAGAAGGCCUGCGGGUUGUAAAGUUCUUUCGGUGACGAGGCGUUAAUCACAGAAGAAGCACCGGCUAACUCCGUGCCAGCAGCCGCGGUAAUAC